GAACGGUAACAGGAAGUCAGCUUGCUGCUUUGCUGACGAGUGGCGGACGGGUGAGUAAUGUCUGGGAAACUGCCCGAUGGAGGGGGAUAACUACUGGAAACGGUAGCUAAUACCGCAUAAUGUCGCAAGACCAAAGAGGGGGACCUUCGGGCCUCUUGCCAUCGGAUGUGCCCAGAUGGGAUUAGCUUGUUGGUGAGGUAACGGCUCACCAAGGCGACGAUCCCUAGCUGGUCUGAGAGGAUGACCAGCCACACUGGAACUGAGACACGGUCCAGACUCCUACGGGAGGCAGCAGUGGGGAAUAUUGCACAAUGGGCGCAAGCCUGAUG
rnacentral:rRNA from 1 species